rnacentral:lncRNA from 1 species
GGGAGAGCAAGCAAAAGUUUUGAGCCUGCACAUGCACAAAGCAAGCAUCACAGAGAGAAUGCGAAAGCGUCGCCCCACGCAGCUCUCCCUGCAGAAGCUCCCAUCAGGGCCCGGUCGCUGCCGCGAGCGGACAGCUCAGUGAGGCAGAAGCAAGAGCUAUGCUUCACACUCACAGAGCCGUACCUCCUCACAGUACAAUCUAUUUAAGCUUUGUUGCUCAUAACCAAGCACAGCUUCAGAUGGCACAGCUGCACGGCCCCCGCACUGUAAAGUCAUUGUUCUGCUGUGUGAACUCUCGCCUCCUUCCCUGACCAGGAAGAAAGAGGGGCGGACAAGAAUCCCCCCAGACGAGUCUUGGUUCAUUAAGGGUGAGGAGGGCUGGGGCUCAUUAGCAGCCUUGGGAACCAAGCGUGCUUGAACCUCCUGUACUUCGUGGCAAUUAGAGCGCGGGGCGUGGCAACAGGAAUACUACCUAUAACCCCAACAGGAACCACAAUAAAAUGGGAGAGUUGGCAGGCAUAGAGGCAAGGUUCAGAGUGCCCGUCAGCAUCCUGCACUGCUUGCUUGUGGGAAGAGGAGCAAGGCGUCCGUUCCAGAAUGCGCUUAGAAAUUAGAAUACU